rnacentral:rRNA from 1 species
UACGUAGGGCGCAGGCGUUGUCCGGAAUUAUUGGGCGUAAAGAGCUCGUAGGCGGCCAGUUGCGUCUGCUGUGAAAUCCCGGGGCUCAACCCCGGGCGUGCAGUGGAUACGGGCUGGCUAGAGGCAGGCAGGGGAGAACGGAAUUCCCGGUGUAGCGGUGAAAUGCGCAGAUAUCGGGAGGAACACCGGUGGCGAGGGCGGUUCUCUGGGCCUGUACUGACGCUGAGGAGCGAAAGCGUGGGGAGCGAACAGG